rnacentral:rRNA from 1 species
CAGUAGCCACGGUAAAACGAAGGGUGCAAGCGUUAAUCGGAAUUACUGGGCGUAAAGCGUGCGUAGGCGGUUUGUUAAGUCUGCUGUGAAAUCCCCGGGCUCAACCUGGGAAUGGCAGUGGAUACUGGCAAGCUAGAGUGUGUCAGAGGAUGGUGGAAUUCCCGGUGUAGCGGUGAAAUGCGUAGAGAUCGGGAGGAACAUCAGUGGCGAAGGCGGCCAUCUGGGACAACACUGACGCUGAGGCACGAAAGCGUGGGGAGCAAACAGGAUUAGAUACCCCAGUAGUCCCUGUCUCUUAUAC